rnacentral:rRNA from 1 species
UACGUAGGGUGCAAGCGUUAAUCGGAAUUACUGGGCGUAAAGCGUGCGCAGGCGGUGAUGUAAGACAGAUGUGAAAUCCCCGGGCUCAACCUGGGAACUGCAUUUGUGACUGAAUAGCUAGGGUACGGUAGAGGGAAGUGGAAUUUCCGGUGUAGCGGUGAAAUGCGUAGAUAUCGGAAGGAACAUCAGUGGCGAAAGCGACUUCCUGGACCAGUACCGACGUUCAGGCACGAAAGCGUGGGGAGCAAACAGG